GUGCCAGCCGCCGCGGUAAGACGUAGGGGGCCAGCGUUGUUCGGAAUUACUGGGUGUAAAGGGUUCGUAGGCGGUGCGGCAAGUUGGGAGUGAAAUCUCUGGGCUUAACCCAGAGGCUGCUUCCAAAACUGCUGUGCUAGAGUGUGGGAGAGGCGCGUGGAAUUGCAGGUGUAGCGGUGAAAUGCGUAGAUAUCUGGAGGAACACCGGUGGCGAAGGCGGCAUCCUGGACCAACACUGACGCUGAGGAGCGAAAGCGCGGGGAGCGAACAGGAUUAGAUACCCUGGUAGUCC
rnacentral:rRNA from 1 species